CGGCUCCGGGGCCGGGAGCGGGCCGGGCCGGGCUCGGGCCCCGGCGAGGUCGGCCCCGAGGCCGUCGCGCACUGGUUCCAGGCCACGAUUGCCGUCC
rnacentral:tRNA from 1 species